rnacentral:rRNA from 1 species
AUUGAACGCUGGCGGCAGGCCUAACACAUGCAAGUCGAACGAGUGGCGGACGGGUGAGUAAUGCGUGGGAAUCUAGCUUACGGAGGGGGAUAACUAGGGGAAACUGUAGCUAAUACCGCGUACCAUAGGAUGAGCCCAAGGGGGAUUAGGUAGUUGGUGAGGUAAAGGCUCACCAAGCCGAAGAUCUCUAGCUGGUCUGAGAGGAUGACCGGCCACUCUGGGACUGAGACACGGCCCAGACUCCUACGGGAGGCAGCCGUGGGGAAUAUUGCACCAUGGGCGCAAGCCUGAUGCAGCCAUGCCGCGUGUGUGAAGAAGGCCUUCGGGUUGUAAAGCACUUUCAGCGGGGAGGCGUUACCCGCAGAAGAAGCACCGGCUAACUCCGUGCCAGCCGCCGCGGUAAUAC